UAGGAUUUACAUAUCUAGGAACCAAGGGGUAGAAAUAAGAAUGCUUCCUCUGAACAUUAUCCCUAGCAAUCCAAUAACUGGAUUUUUGUCUUCCAUCCUUACCACUUCAGUUUCUGCUGGUCUAGACAUCUGGGUUCCAAAAGAAGAAUGCAUCUCCCAGGAGACAUGACAAUGAUUCCAUUCAACAGGAAGUUGAGACUGCCACCUGAACACUUUGGGCUCCUCAUGCCUCUGAAUCAACGGGCAAAGAAGAGAGUUAUAGAUCCUAACCACCCAGGAGAAAUUCGGUGGCCACUACACAAACAGACUUUUCUGACUCUGCGGCCAGGUGUUUGUAUUUAACUCCACGGUGAGGAGACUCAUCUUCUGACGGACCUAACCUAUACCAUCAAGCUCCAGCACCACAAGCAAAGACAAAAACCUUGCGGAAACUAUUUAACUAACUCCCACAAUUGCAUAAGGUAUUGUUAUCAAAUACGAAAGGCUCCAAAUGGCUUUUAU
rnacentral:lncRNA from 10 species